rnacentral:lncRNA from 1 species
GUAGGAUGUACCUAGACAGCCCUGGUGAAAAUUAUGCAUCUACCAAAUUGCAACCCCUGGGACAACUUAUCCCACUCAGCAAACUGGAUACUCAGUAACUCCUGGUGCAACUGCUGCCGCAUAUCCAACUCAGAGAACCGCAACUGGGUAUGAAACCUAUCAGACACAAGCCACCCCCACUGCUUACGCAGUUCCAGCUGGUGCAACCACCGCUACAACGUAUGACUACGGUUACGCAAGAACAGCACACUCGUCUCCGACUGCCUACGAUGCAAAGGCGUAUUAUCAACAACAGGCAACUCCAGCAACUCCUGUAACACCCGCAUAUUCAACAUCGGAUUAUCAAACUGCAGGAGCUGCGAUAGUGAAGCCGCAGUACAGUGCCACGUAUUCUACUCAGACAACUCCUCAGAGGCAAGUGGUACCGCCUAAGCCUGCAGUUUCAGCUGUUCAGUACAGUCAGUAUGCGCCGCCUCAGCAACAGCAGCAGACCCCAGCUCAAGCAGUUAGCAGCUACACUGCCAGUUACUCUACGCCUGCCAGCAUUCAGCCAACAUCUCAACUAAAUAAGGUAAAAAAAUUGGAGCUCUAAUUAAUAAUGUUCAUGGUUAUUCUUCUCUCCACCAUUUUGAGAUGUCAUCUUAGAAAUUACUGAUUGAUCUAAUUUAAUUUGACCAAGUGCUCACAACUCUUUAAUUUUUAUCAGCAUUUAGAAAUUUCUCUUCGGAUUCUUAUGAAAAUCUUGAUGGAAAAAAUGAGUCCUGAAAUGAUACAGUAAAAUACUUUGAUUAAGUGGUAAAAAUGGCUCAGAAGCCAGUCAAUACUGACAAAUCAUCUUCAAAGGAAACUGUUGUUUACAAUGAUGACAAACGACU